GGCGCUAUAGCCAAGUGGUAAGGCAUAGGUCUGCAACACCUUGAUCUCCAGUUCAAAUCUGGAUGGCGCCUCCA
rnacentral:tRNA from 2 species